CUCAGGAUGAACGCUGGCGGCGUGCUUAACACAUGCAAGUCGAACGAUGAUCUCCAGCUUGCUGGGGGGAUUAGUGGCGAACGGGUGAGUAACACGUGAGUAACCUGCCCUUGACUCUGGGAUAAGCCUGGGAAACUGGGUCUAAUACCGGAUAUGACCAUCUGGCGCAUGUCAUGGUGGUGGAAAGCUUUUGUGGUUUUGGAUGGACUCGCGGCCUAUCAGCUUGUUGGUGGGGUAAUGGCCUACCAAGGCGACGACGGGUAGCCGGCCUGAGAGGGUGACCGGCCACACUGGGACUGAGACACGGCCCAGACUCCUACGGGAGGCAGCAGUGGGGAAUAUUGCACAAUGGGCGCAAGCCUGAUGCAGCGACGCCGCGUGAGGGAUGACGGCCUUCGGGUUGUAAACCUCUUUCAGUAGGGAAGAAGCCUUUCGGGGUGACGGUACUUGCAGAAGAAGCGCCGGCUAACUACGUGCCAGCAGCCGCGGUAAUACGUAGGGCGCAAGCGUUAUCCGGAAUUAUUGGGCGUAAAGAGCUCGUAGGCGGUUUGUCGCGUCUGCUGUGAAAGACCGGGGCUCAACUCCGGUUCUGCAGUGGGUACGGGCAGACUAGAGUGCAGUAGGGGAGACUGGAAUUCCUGGUGUAGCGGUGAAAUGCGCAGAUAUCAGGAGGAACACCGAUGGCGAAGGCAGGUCUCUGGGCUGUAACUGACG
rnacentral:rRNA from 1 species